CUUCCUCGGCCUUUUCGGGGAAGACUGUUGAACGUCGUGUUAAGUUCUCGCAUUCGCUUGGGAUUCCUAAUGCCUUGAUUUGAGGUAAGUAAAUGUGAAUUGCUUUUGGCUUCUCAGCGUUUGCCUGUCAGUAUUGAUCCUUCUGAGCCCAGCUGCCUUUCAUGGGACUGCUGCUGCUCUUUGAUGCAUCUAGAUAAUUUUCUAGAUGUAUGAUCAUUUUCUGGGAAGAUGGCUUUUAGUUUGGUUACGUAAAACUGAUUUUCACAUCUUUAUAAUGGUAGGAUAGAAGUUUAUAUUUUGCAAAUGUAGCAGUUUUGAAAAUUUGGAUGACUUAGCUAAAGUCAGUUUUCACUUGAGCCAUGUAAUAAGCUUUUGGUUUUUGUGUAAUCAGUUUACUCUGAUAACUUGGGCAUAUGCUCCAACGUACCUCUACAGUCAACAGCUAUAAUUGUAAUAGACAAGGUAAAAAGUCAAUAGCAAUGACUUGAGUUCUUUAGCAGUGUGUGUUGAUGUUUAUUUCAGGUAGUCAGAUGUUUUUAGAAGAUUGUAUGUGCCCAAUUUUUGCAUGUCAUCUAAACACUAAAAAUCCUUCAUGGUGAUAUCUGUUCCUUGUGACUAGUAGAAACCUCGGGACCAGCGACAAACUUGUCAAACGUGCAUGUUUGCAUGCAUCUCUCCCUCACCUUUAGUCAUAUACAUUGAUAUUGCUUUCCCCUGCCUCUUUGAGGCAGUAUUUUGGUCAUCUGCAAAUGCAGCCAUCUCCAGGUCAUCCUGUAGGCUGUGAAAACUCAGGAUGCUGGCCCCAAUGGCUGAGGUACAUGUCAAAGGAAUGAUUCAGUGAGCCCAGACCUCUCUUUAAGUAGACAACACUUACUGAUCGUAAUGGACUUCAUUUAACUUCUCUCAAAUCUAUGUGUGGGAGGGGGAAAAUCUUGAAAACAGGGGUGAUGGUGUUUACUCAGAUAUUCCAACGUGGAUACCCCGGGAGGUCACUCUCCCCGGGCUCUGUCCUGGUGGUGUAGAGGAGCAUAGGGCUCUGCCCCAUGAUGUACAGUCCCUUUCCACAACGUUGGAGAUGAAGCUGGGCCUUGAGUCUGCGCCUGCAUAUUCCUACAGCUUCUCAGAGUCCUGUGGACAAUGACUGAGGAGACAAACCAUGCAGGAAACAUCUAGUAUACAAAAAUUGAAAAUUGAGUUAAGAUUUUAUGUGUGAAUCUAAUUACUUUUUUUUUUUUGUCCUUUCAUUUAGGAGAGAAGAUGAACCUCACCUAACUUUGAAAUUAAUAUUUAAUGCUUUGAGGUCCCUUACUUGCAGGGAGAUGUGGUAAAGUGAGUACCCUGCAGUUCGGGGAGAUAAACCUGCAGUUUGAAAAUGUUAAGAUUACACAGAAUAUUUAAUCCUGGAACUAUCUUAAAAAGCAGCAGAGGAAUAGUAUGUUGCCCAGAUGCCCAUUGAAAUUAGAAGGAAUUAUAUGUGACAGGUGUGGGGGGUGGCCCUAGAGAUCCUCUCAGGUUUUCUACGAUGUGAAAACCAGUCAACAGUGGGUUUUCUGACAAGUGGAAGUAUGAGGACCUAUAUAUUUUAAUAAAGAGAUGCAUGACAGUUUCUACUGUGCUCAUGAAUUAUAAUAAAAAUGACUAUAU
rnacentral:lncRNA from 1 species